rnacentral:rRNA from 1 species
CAGUCGCCACGGGAAUACGUAGGGUGCAAGCGUUAAUCGGAAUUACUGGGCGUAAAGCGUGCGCAGGCGGUUAUAUAAGACAGAUGUGAAAUCCCCGGGCUCAACCUGGGAACUGCAUUUGUGACUGUAUAGCUAGAGUACGGCAGAGGGGGAUGGAAUUCCGCGUGUAGCAGUGAAAUGCGUAGAUAUGCGGAGGAACACCGAUGGCGAAGGCAAUCCCCUGGACAAAGACUGACGCUCAGGUGCGAAAGCGUGGGGAGCAAACAGGAUUAGAUACCCGUGUAGUCCCUGUCUCUUAUAC